UUACCUUUCUGACACCUCGUCUGAGGGCGGCGGGCGGCCGCAGCCCCUGCUGAGCAGCCACGGCUGAGGCCCGCGGUGCCCGCGGCCAGGCCGGGCGGGCGGGCGCGCUCCUCCCCUCACGCGCUGCCUUCUCCCCUCAGGCUCGGCGGAAGCGGCCGCGGCCUGCGGCUCGGCGGUGCCGGCGUCCCGAGCCUCCGUGCCCGAUCCGCGGCGGUCCCCGGCGCUGUGGGCCGGUAAAAGGCGGUGUUCCCUGCUCCGGUGUUUGCGGUAAGUGAGGCUGAGCCCCGGGAAAUGCUCCUGCUCCGCAACGAGGCGGAUCUUGAAGCACAAAGAAGCAGCUGCGGAAUGGGCUGGAGGAAAGAAUUCACCGACUUUUACUCCCUCAUGGGUUAGUUUAAGCUCUAUAGAAGAUAACAAGCUACUCCUGUAAGGUUUUCGCACUCAAGACCAGCUUUAAUUGUGAAUGUUUUACUGUCGUAUUUCUACUUAAACUUCUAUAUAAAUUUUUGUAGCUUACAGGUGAAUAAAGUUUUAAAAAGUCUCGA